GCUGGUAUGAGUCUGUCCCCCGGGGGUGCAGCUGAAGAAGCGAAAAGGCAACGCUGUGCACGGCCUGUCCGUCCCUGUCCAGGAGGGUGACACAGCGGGAACGACCCAAAGACCCGCCCAGAGAAGCAGGGCCCCAGGAGGCGACGUAAAACCACUUACAACAGUACAAAACCAUCGAACAACUUUACAAAAACACGGAAGUUUUUUUGUGCGAUUCUCCCGCACGACAGACGGUUACAACACGUGUGCCUGGACGCUGCAGCUCCCAGAAAACGUGGCCGAGACGUCAACCACACGCCCGCCGAGUCUGGGUGGGCAGGCCACAGCAUGCGCACGCCCCUAAAUACUCUGAAUGAGCUGCAGCAGACACACAGGAAUACCUCAGCCUGAGCUCCUCUCCCCAGAAGGCUUCCUGGCUGCUACGUGGAGAUGGGCCACCCUGCAAAAGGCAGGCAGAGUUCUCCGGCUGCUGGAAAGAAACCUCGCAUCUGGGGUGGUGGCUUGACUUGUCAGCCCAGAACACCAGUGAUUAACGCAGAUGUCCGCCUCCUUCGACAGGCCGUGAGGGCCCGGCAAGGGCAGGCCCCGGGACCUCAGCACAGUGCCUCAUAGGGAGCGGGCACACGGAUGGCAGAUGGACAGGUGGGCAGACUGCAAACACCAGGAUUAUUAGAAACUACUUCUGUGUUAUUCUGAGUAAUGUCUACACUUCCCAGAGAAAGUGCUUUCAAAGCAAGUACCUUCAGCCUUUUCUUUUCACUUGAAGAAUAGUAAAGUCCAUGCCAAAUUUCACAAGCGCAGCUUCCCCGCCCAGCAUGACGCGCUUUAGAAAUGAAAAGUCCACAAGGAUCCCUCCGCCUUAAGGACACACCUGCCUGCGUCUGAAAUCAUUCCAGACCCCCCAUCUUCUCCUCACAAUCCCACCUGACAACAUCCACGGUUACAGAACCCGGGGACCCAACCGCAAUCCACGUCGUCCCACAGCUGGACAAAAACAGCUUCUACAAUACGGAAGGGGGCCGAGGGAAUGUCCCGACGAUCACCUAGGAAAGCGAGUCCGUCUGAAUCCUCAGGGGUCUCUUCCCACUCUGGGUAAAAACCCACCCACAGAACGCUGUGCGGCUGUACCUUACAUAGCGAGCAUUCACCCUGGUUCACUGUGCAUGAAAAUGGGAGAGGGCAGAGCAGGAAGCACAGGGUGGCCCCACCUUUUUAAAGUUCUGUCUUGGGCGCCUGGGUGGCUCAGUCUGUUAAGCAUCUGCCUUCGGGUCAGGUCAUGACCCCAGGGUCCUGGGAUCGAACCCCGCAUUGGGCUCCCUGCUCAGUACGGAGCCUACCUCUCCCU